rnacentral:tRNA from 1 species
GCACUGUUGGUUCAGUGGUAGAAUCCUCACCUUCCACGUGGGAGACCCGGGUUCAGUUCCCAGCCAGCGCA